rnacentral:rRNA from 1 species
AUUGAACGCUGGCGGCAGGCCUAACACAUGCAAGUCGAACGGAGUGGCGGACGGGUGAGUAAUGUCUGGGAAACUGCCUGAUGGAGGGGGAUAACUACUGGAAACGGUAGCUAAUACCGCAUACUAUCAGAUGAGCCUAGGUCGGAUUAGCUAGUUGGUGGGUUAAAGGCCUACCAAGGCGACGAUCCGUAACUGGUCUGAGAGGAUGGUCAGUCACACGGGAACUGAGACACGGUAAAGACUCCUACAGGAGGCAGCAGUGGGGAAUAUUGGACAAUUGGCGAAAGCCUGGUCUAGCCAUGCCGCGUGUGUGAAGAAGGUCUUCGGAUUGUAAAGCACGUUAAGUUGGGAGGCGUUACCAACAGAAUAAGCACGGGCUAACUUCGUGCCAGCAGCCGCGGUAAUAC